rnacentral:rRNA from 1 species
GGACUGCAGUCUGCAACUCGACUGCACGAAGUCGGAAUUGCUAGUAAUCGCGGAUCAGCAUGCCGCGGUGAAUACGUUCCCGGGUCUUGUACACACCGCCCGUCACACCAUGAGAGCCGGAAACACCCGAAGUCCGUAGCCUAACCGCAAGGGGGGCGCGGCCGAAGGUGGGUUUGGUAAUUGGGGUGAAGUCGUAACAAGGUACC